CACAUAAGAAGGAUAUUGAAACCCUUAGGGUAAAGAGAAUUUACUAUAUUGAAGUUAAAAAAUAUAUAUUUGAUGAUAGCUAUGCUGCACCGGAUAAUUCAAGCAAAAAAAAAAAAAAAAGAAGCCAUAGGAGUACACUUUGUGUUAUUUGAAACCAAAAAGAAAAUGAUGUGAAGGGAUGCUAUAGAGCAUUAGGCAACUAAGGGAAAUCAAUUCUUAUGUUGCAUCCUCCCACUCUCUGAACCAGCAUAGGGAUCGAUCAC
rnacentral:lncRNA from 1 species